rnacentral:rRNA from 1 species
UACGUAGGGGGCAAGCGUUGUCCGGAUUUAUUGGGCGUAAAGAGCGUGUAGGCGGCCAUACAGGUCCGUUGUGAAAACUGGAGGCUUAACCUCCAGACGUCGAUGGAAACCGUAUGGCUAGAGUCCGGAAGAGGAGAGUGGAAUUCCUGGUGUAGCGGUGAAAUGCGCAGAUAUCAGGAAGAACACCCGUGGCGAAAGCGGCUUCCUGGCCCGACAUUGACGCUCAUGUACGAAAGCGUGGGGAGCAAACAGG